GACAGGAGGUGCCAAGCGUUAGGCGGAAUCACUGGGCUUAAAGCGUGUGUAGGCGGAUUGCUAAGUACCUUGUGAAAUCCCACGGCUCAACCGUGGAACUGCUUGGUAUACUGGUUAUCUUGAGCCACUUAGGGGCGAGCGGAACAAAUGGUGGAGCGGUGAAAUGCGCAGAUAGUCAUUGGAACACCAAUGGUGAAAACAGCUCGCUGGGAGUGUGCUGACGCUGAGACACGAAAGCCAGGGGAGCGAACGGG
rnacentral:rRNA from 1 species